rnacentral:lncRNA from 1 species
AAGGUUAGCUCAGCAAGCGUGCCUCGCAACGAGGGGAGAGGGGACCCUACAACGUUGACUGGGGUCAACCGAGUAGACACACCUGUCUAUAAAAAUGGCAUGGUGACCCUGAAGGCCCAAGCAAUCCAAAAACAGAGCAGCUCUUUAUACAUACCUGAGCCAUCCUUGUGCAUGGCAACCAAGAGUCAGAGUGACCACCUUGCUCGGGUAGGGAGGGAGGCCUUUGACAUCCUAGAUGAGUGCCUAGGCCGGAAGAGGAGGCCACCACCACCUCAUGCAAUCCACCAACCCAAGCCGGUCCAAUACUUUGCUGCUCCGAAGAAAGAGCCCACAGAUAGCACCCAAGCCGCUAAAGAACUCGGCGGGGUUUUGUUUGUGGCUCACCGUCGCCGGGUGUUCUAUUAAGAUCUCCAUGGAUGCUAUGUAGCUAAGCUUUUUAUUUGGCUUGCUCCUACGUACGUACCAUGUAAAGCUUAGCUUUUUAUUUGGCUUGCUUAUAUGUAUGUACCGUGUAACACCAUGUAAAGCUUAGCUUUUUAUUUGGCUUGCUUAUAUGUAUGUAUCGUGUAACAUGGUGUAUUAGAAUUUAGAAGCGGUAUAAUACUACAAGCUGUUUGAUAAAAUCCAGUCUGUGAUUUGUUUUGAUGGGCGUCUGGUUUGCAUAUGGUUACCUAAUGGUCAGAGCUGUAUUGGAGUGUUUUUUUAGAAAGGAGCG